rnacentral:lncRNA from 1 species
UAUUUAUGAAGCCUACAUCGCCGAUCUCUGUAUCUAUUUGCAGGCAUUUUGAGAAUACAUGCCAUCACUUCUUCGUCAGUGCAAUCCUCGAAGUCAAUAUUAUCUUACACAGUCAUCAUAACAAAAAGCAAAUACAUGAAAUUAUUCAUAUAAUAAAAAAUUUAUUUAUAUAACCAAAAAUAAUAUGGAUCAUGUAAUGAUAUGCAAGACAU